GUAAGGGAGAGGUAGGGGGUGAGAGAAGAGAUUAUUAAUUCAACUGGCGACAACACAAGCAAUGCGAAGAGAAACCAACGCUAAACCAUCUAAAAAGGUCAAACAUCUGUUAUUGUUUUGCAACCAGUAAAUGCAUCAUUUUAAGUUCUUCCAGGUUGUACUGACCACAACACAAUCUGGCUUGGAUGACUAAAAGAAAGAAAUGCAACAAGAAGUCGGGAGGAAGUAUUUUGUCAAGACAUGUCUGCUUCAAUCAAGUUGUGUGACAUGUAGAGAGAGCAAAACUACAGGGGAGUGACAGGAGGGCUGAGCAGAGUACAGUUAUGUUGCCUCAAAACAGGUUUUCCCCCCCAACUUUCACUUUGUGAUGAAAUAUUUUGGACAUGGACAUUUUGGUAAGCUUUUGGAAAUCUCAGAGUCAAAGUACAGCCUGCCACAUUCUACAUUAUUUGAGGGAUACAGAUACAGUACAGUUUUGACAAUGUUAGCCUUGCUAUUAUUGCUAAUUGCUAAUAUGCUAAAGCUGGGUCAGAAGGUAAUCUUUAGUACUUUACUCCGUAAAACCCUGCUGAAUGAUGACUGCUUUCUGACACAGGGCAGGUGAAAGUUUUCCAAAAAAGUGCAGACUUUAAAUGAGCCACUAAAUGGCGAACUGUAUGUCUGUAAUGAGCCCAGAAAAGUCAAAGACGUAAAAUCAAAAUAUAACCAAAUUUCGAUUAUUGUCUGUUACAUUCAAUUCAGUUUAAAAAUCCGGAAGUUUAGGUAACUGACAUUGAAAAGUUUAAGAGAAAAUAGAAGAAAGGUCAACACAAGACUGAGAUUACUGGCAUGUAUUUGUGUGCUUAUUGUUCAGUAGGCAGGCGAGCCACCUCCACACAGUGAUGACGCUCCUUGGGGAAUCUGUAGGAGGAAAAAUCUUCAUAGAAGAGAAACGCAACGAGGAAAUAAAACAGGAUAAAGAGAGGCUUCAGGCAUUGAGAGAUCGUCGCAUUUCAUUCAUGUUGAAAAUCAUUCGUUAGGAGCUUCAUAAAAAACAAAAAAUAAAAAGUAUGAAUGUUACUGGAAACCAGCCAAAAAUCGGAUUUGAGAUCGCAGCCUCUGGCAUCGCCAUCGCUUAGCCGUUUCAUGGAUGCAGAUGCAGCUGUUAAACAUUAAUUCAAGUGACUCACUUGAGCAACACUUAUGAAUGACAGGUGUGUGUGUGUGUGUGGAGACUGCCUGUUCUCACACAGCCUGAGAAAAUGCAACUGCGCUACAUGUAAACGUGCGUGCCAGCGGUUGAGCCUCUGCAAGACUUUUACUGCGCUCCGUUUAUAGGAAGCAUGUGUUCACGCUUCACAUGCGAGCAAAGAAAACAAUGUAGUUCCCAGAAACGCUGACACUUCAGGCAUUGUGAAGAAACUAUUAAAGUCGUGUCCACUGACGUGAUUAGCGUGACUGAAUAAAAUCGCUGUCUUGUGAGCUUACGAUUUAAGAUUAUAUGAUCGAUUCGUCAUGACGGAGCACAAUAAAAUGUCGAUUUGUAUCUUAUUUCCAUUCAAUAAUUAUUUUUCCACAGAAACGCAUAAACACUUAUUUCACUCCUCUC